rnacentral:rRNA from 1 species
ACCCGCUGAACUUAAGCAUAUCAAUAAGCGGAGGAAAAGAAACCAACAGGGAUUGCCCUAGUAACGGCGAGUGAAGCGGCAACAGCUCAAAUUUGAAAUCUGGCUCUUUUAGGGUCCGAGUUGUAAUUUGCAGAGGGCGCUUUGGCGUUGGCAGCGGUCCAAGUUCUUUGGAACAGGACGUCACAGAGGGUGAGAAUCCCGUACGUGGUCGCUAUCCUUCGCCGUGUAAAGCCCCUUCGACGAGUCGAGUUGUUUGGGAAUGCAGCUCUAAAUGGGAGGUAAAUUUCUUCUAAAGCUAAAUACUGGCCAGAGACCGAUAGCGCACAAGUAGAGUGAUCGAAAGAUGAAAAGCACUUUGGAAAGAGAGUCAAAUAGCACGUGAAAUUGUUGAAAGGGAAGCGCUUGAGACCAGACUCAGGUAAAGUUGAUCAACCUCCAUUCUUGGUGGUGCACUCUUCUUUGCCCGGGCCAGCAACAGUUUUGGCGGUGGUAUAAAGGUUUAGGGAAUGUGGCUCUCUUCGGGGAGUGUUAUAGCCCUAUUCGUAAUGCUGCCUGUCGAGACUGAGGACCGCGCUUCGGCUAGGUUGUUGGCGUAAUGGUCUU